GGAAGGAUAAGGAUUGUUGUUGUUGACAGAAGAUAGAGAGCACAGAUGAUGAAAUACUGUAGUGAAAGUAUCUCACUUUCCUUUGUGCUCCCUAUGCUUCUGUCAUCACAUGCACCUUCCUUUC
rnacentral:pre_miRNA from 1 species